AUGCUAAGACUAUUCAAAGGACAACCUUCUGUGGUAAGCAAGUAAAAUAUAUGAAGCGAUCUUCGCUAAGUAACAUAUAGUAGUCACAUCUUGCACUCUUCGCACAGCUGAGUUAUACGAAUUCAUAGGGCUCAUCGCAUCCCAAAGCUUUUUGUAACUUCCUAGUUCCUACCAUUCCCCAAAUCAUUGCUGCUGGUUUCAGGUGCAUGUUCACAUCAGAAGACGCAAUUGCACAGUGGUGCAGAGACCAGUUUGUGGCUAAGAUCCAAGUGUUUGCUGAUGAUGAGACCUUCAAUCGAAUGGAGAACAUGUUCUUGUCGUUUUUAAUCACCGAAGUGAUAUGAUUAGUUUGUGGGAGGGAUUUCGGCUCAGGGCUUUGUGUCAGCUGUUAGUAAGAUGCGUUCAUUUGUCCCAUCCAUAAAGUGACAUGACCGUGGCUAUUCAAAGGACAACCUUCUCUGGUGCAUGUUCACAUCAAGUAUCACUCGAUAAAAGACUUGCCUGAAUCAGCAGACGGAAUUGCACAGUGGUGCAGAGAUCAGUUUAUGGCUAAGGAGAUUCUGUUAGACAAACACAGAGCUGCAGACACUUUCCCCGGUCGGCAAGAACAGAACAUUGGCCGUCCUAUAAAGUCCCGUAUCAUCUUACUUGCUCGGAACCUUUUUAAACUUGAAGCUAUUGUCUUUAUGUACUCUGUUGUGUGCUAAACCCUCAUUCUAAAGGUGGUUUAUACUUUCAAGGGUGGGACUAUACUCAUGAACCUGUUUUCUUAUUUUAACAAACUCACCACCACAUUAACGCUUGUGUAUUAUCGUUUUUCUAGUCUAGAUAAUCAUUUUUGCUUCAAAAAGAAAAAGUAAAUGUCAACCGUUAUAAAUAAGAGCUGGAGUAUGGCUAUUCCUAUUAGCAACAUUUCUGGUUGAUACUUCAUAUCUGGCUAUAUUUCUGUUAUCAUGGUUCCAGAGUAUGUUGUCCUUAAGGAUAUGUCUUGUCCUGCAUGCAUCUCUGGUAAUAUUUUCAUGCAAUGACACCAAAAAUAAAAAUAAAAGCUACCUCGAUAAUAAUAAAGAAGGUCCAUUCUCUUCAGAAUUUGGAGUUGAAGACACUGGGUUGUUCGCUUGGGAAAUUGUUCUCGAGUUCAUGUAAUAUGCAACGGAGGAGGUGGAGCAUCAGCACUUGUUCUUGUGUUCAUGUGUAAGCUCCUUCUUUAUAACUCUGAUCGGAGAAGACAUUCGGGAUAUUCAGCACUCUAAAGCCAAUAGAUGUUGCUUAUAGAACGCAAAGCAUGUGUAUGUUGUUGAAGUUUGUAUUUGAGAGAAAUGCAAUAAAUGCGUGUUAGAAAUAGGACAUUCUGAGUU